GAUGAACGCUGGCGGCGUGCCUAAUACAUGCAAGUCGAGCGAACGGACGAGAAGCUUGCUUCUCUGAUGUUAGCGGCGGACGAGUGAGUAACACGUGGAUAACCUACCUAUAAGACUGGGAUAACUUCGGGAAACCGGAGCUACUACCGGAUAAUAUUUUGAACCGCAUGGUUCAAAAGUGAAAGACGGUCUUGCUGUCACUUAUAGAUGGAUCCGCGCUGCAUUAGCUAGUUGGUAAGGUAACGGCUUACCAAGGCAGCGAUGCAUAGCCGACCUGAGAGGGUGAUCGGCCACACUGGAACUGAGACACGGUCCAGACUCCUACGGGAGGCAGCAGCAGGGAAUCUUCCGGAAUGGGCGAAAGCCUGAUGGAGCAACGCCGCGUGAGUGAUGAAGGUCUUCGGCUCGUAAAACUCUGUUAUUAGGGAAGAACAUAUGUGUAAGUAACUGUGCACAGCUUGACGGUACCUAAUCAGAAAGCCACGGCUAACUACGUG
rnacentral:rRNA from 1 species